GGGCAGGGCGGGGCCCCCGCUCCUGCUACUACUGGCGCCGACGCGGCGUCGGGACGCGCGCGGGGCGGCGCCCCAUGAGGCGACGAGAUGAGGCAGCGGAGGGGAGGGGUGUCGGGUUAGGGUUUCGCGCGACGGCGUCGCUGCUCGUCUCGCGGCGGCGGGCGGAAAUUUUUUUUUCCCCCUUCCUCUUCUCCCUCUUUCCUCCUCCCCCUUUCGCCGUGGUGGUGGUGGUGGCGGCCUCGAGCUGAGCUGCUCUCUGCGGUGGUAGCUUGCUUUUUGCGCCUGCGCGGCCCCCUCCCGCUGCUGCUUU
rnacentral:lncRNA from 1 species